GCUGGCGGCUUACAGCAAGCGGUGCUGGAGUGUAAAGCCUCCUGCUUCUUGUUUUUAAACACGGAACGGGUGUGUCUGCAGGGUUAAUGUUUUCUGGCACCACACAGGGAGGCUAAGACUGGCCAGCUGAAAUAAAGAUACUUGAGGGCUUCAUCCACGUAGGACAGCUUCCCUUUGUGUUUAGUCCAUACUUUAAGAAAAUUCUGAUGAUCACCAUCAUCCCAACCUCCUUGCCUUCCCCCUGUUUGCUGCAGAAAUCUUUCAAACUCUACAACUUCUGCAGAUUCCUGGAAGAGCAAACAAACCACAGAAGCAUCCGAAGACUGUAAGAGAAUCAUAAGCAAUAUUCAAAGGAACCUCUCUAUGAAGGAAAAUGUUUUAAAAUCUGUUUGCAUAACUUACAUUCUGAUG